GUGUCAGCAGCCGCGGUAAUACGAAGGGACCUAGCGUAGUUCGGAAUUACUGGGCUUAAAGAGCACGUAGGUGGUUAAAAAAGUUGGUGGUGAAAUCCCAGAGCUUAACUCUGGAACUGCCAUCAAAACUUUUUAGCUAGAGUAUGAUAGAGGAAAGUGGAAUUUCUAGUGUAGAGGUGAAAUUCGUAGAUAUUAGAAAGAAUACCAAUUGCGAAGGCAGCUUUCUGGAUCAUUACUGACACUGAGGUGCGAAAGCAUGGGUAGCGAAGAGGAUUAGAUACCCUCGUAGUCCAUGCCGUAAACGAUGUGUGCUAGACGUUGGAAAUUUAUUUUCAGUGUCGCAGCAAAAGCAUUAAGCACACCGCCUGGGGAGUACGACCGCAAGGUUAAAACUCAAAUGAAUUGACGGGGACCCGCACAAGCAGUGGAGCAUGUGGUUUAAUUCGAAGAUACGCGCAGAACCUUACCAACACUUGACAUGUUCGUCGCGACUUUAAGAGAUUAAAGUCUUCGGUUCGGCCGGACGAAACACAGGUGCUGCAUGGCUGUCGUCAGCUCGUGUCGUGAGAUGUUGGGUUAAGUCCCGCAACGAGCGCAACCCUUACUUUUAGUUGCCAUCAUUUAGUCGGGCACUCUGAAAGAACUGCCAGUGAUAAGCUGGAGGAAGGUGGGGAUGACGUCAAGUCCUCAUGGCCCUUAUGUGUUGGGCUACACACGUGCUACAAUGGCAUUUACAAUAGGAAGCGAGAUGGCGACAUCAAGCAAAUCCUAAAAAAAUGCCUCAGUUCGGAUUGUACUCUGCAACUCGAGUACAUGAAGCUGGAAUUGCUAGUAAUCGCGGAUCAGCGCGCCGCGGUGAAUACGUUCCCGGGUCUUGCACACACCGCCCGUC
rnacentral:rRNA from 1 species